AUUGAACGCUGGCUGCAGGCCUAACACAUGCAAGUCGACCGAGUGGCGGACGGGUGAGUAAUGUCUGGGAAACUGCCCGAUGGAGGGGGAUAACUACUGGAAACGGUAGCUAAUACCGCAUCCCAUCGGAUGUGCCCAGAUGGGAGUAGCUAGUAGGUGGGGUAACGCCUCACCUAGGCGACGAUCCCUAGCUGGUCUGAGAGGAUGACACGACACAUUGGAACUUGGACACGGUCCAGACUCCUACGGGAGGCAGCAGUGGGGAAUAUUGCACAAUGGGCGCAAGCCUGAUGCAGCCAUGCCGCGUGUAUGAAGAAGGGCUUCGGGUUGUAAAGUACUUGCAGCGAGGAGGCGUUACUCGCAGAAGAAGCACCGGCUAACUCCGCGCCAGCCGCCGCGGUAAUAC
rnacentral:rRNA from 1 species